rnacentral:sRNA from 1 species
CUCCGGGCACUUGCUCGUUUUUCGUAAAAAGGAAUUUUCCGCCGGUGUAUAAAUCAAAGCCGAUUGCUUUAUUCUAGAAUUGAUGAUAUACUUUGUACAUUCGCCCUAUGAUGGCGAUACGUUUAGGAGGUAAUUGAACUUGAAAGGCACAGUAAAAUGGUUUAACGCAGAAAAGGGCUACGGUUUUAUCUCGGUUGAAGGCGGAGACGACGUGUUCGUACACUACUCUGCUAUCCAAGGCGAAGGCUUCAAAUCUUUGGACGAAGGCCAAGAAGUGGAGUUCGACAUCACUCAAGGCAAUCGCGGCCCGCAAGCGGCUAACGUUGUUAAGUUAUAAGAUCCCGAACACACUCAGGGUUUUAUAGAUGCGACGGAAGGACGGCUCCCGGCUUUAACCGGGGGCCGUCCU